AUUGAACGCUGGCGGCAGGCCUAACACAUGCAAGUCGAACGAGUGGCGGACGGGUGAGUACUAUCAGGGUACCUGCCCGAUGGAGGGGGCUAACUGCUGCAAACGGUAGUUACUCCCACGUCCAAUUGGGUGUACCCAGGUGGGGCUAGCUUGUAGGUGAGGUAACGGCUCAGCCAGGCGACGAUCCCUAGCUGGUCUGAGAGGAUGACCAGUCACACUGGAACUGAGACACGGUCCAGACUCCUACGGGAGGCAGCAGUGGGGAAUAUUGCACAAUGGGCGCAAGCCUGAUGCAGCCAUGCCGCGUGUAUGAAGAAGGCCUUCGGGUUGUAAAGUACUUUCAGCGGGGAGGCGUUACCCGCAGAAGAAGCACCGGCUAACUCCGUGCCAGCAGCCGCGGUAAUUC
rnacentral:rRNA from 1 species